rnacentral:rRNA from 1 species
CACGUAGGGUGCGAGCGUUGUCCGGAAUUAUUGGGCGUAAAGAGCUCGUGGGCGGUGUGUCGCGUCGGCCGUGAAAACCUGCAGCUUAACUGUGGGCUUGCGGUCGAUACGGGCAUCACUGGAGUUCGGCAGGGGAGACUGGGAUUCCUGGUGUAGCGGUGAAAUGCGCAGAUAUCAGGAGGAACACCGGUGGCGAAGGCGGGUCUCUGGGCCGAUACUGACGCUGAGGAGCGAAAGCGUGGGGAGCGAACAGG